rnacentral:rRNA from 1 species
AACGAACGCUGGCGGCAUGCCUAACACAUGCAAGUCGAACGAGACCUUCGGGUCUAGUGGCGCACGGGUGCGUAACGCGGGGGAACCUGCCCGUAGGUUCGGAAUAACUCCCCGAAAGGGGUGCUAAUACCGGAUAAUGUCUUCGGACCAAAGAUUUAUGGCCUUUGGAUGGGCCCGCGUUGGAUUAGCUAGUUGGUAGGGUAAAAGCCUACCAAGGCGACGAUCCAUAGCUGGUCUGAGAGGAUGAUCAGCCACACUGGGACUGAGACACGGCCCAGACUCCUACGGGAGGGAGGAGUGGGGAAUAUUGGACAAUGGGCGAAAGCCUGAUCCCGCAAUGCCGCGUGAGUGAUGAAGGCCUUAGGGUUGUAAAGCUCUUUUACCCGGGAUGAUAAUGACGGUACCGGGAGAAUAAGCUCCGGCUAACUCCGUG